CCUAAACCCUGUGUAUCGAAGGAUAACUCAUAUGGCUUUUUGACCAUUAUGGUCUCCACUAAAGAACCAAGAUUGUGAUUUGUGUCCAACCUAUAGUAAAAUUUAACCAAAAGAGUAGCAAAAUCUAGAAAACGAAAAAUUUUAGGCCGAACCAUAGUAGGAUUGAAGAGAUAGUACAAUUUUAUCUAGGCCAUAAUAAAUGUCUAGAGAUAGAUAAAAUUUCCCCAAACCCUAAAGACUUAACCAUAACCCUCAAUCGUAUACACUAAACACCGGACCCAAACCCAAAUCCCUAAACCGUAACGCCCGAACCCUAAACAUCAAACCCUAAACCCUAUAUACCGAAUGCUUACACCUAUGCAUUUUUUAGCAUUAAAUGGUUUCCACAAAAAACCCAAGAAUGCGAAUUGUGUCCAACCAAUAUUAAAAUGUAAUCCAAGUAAUAGUAAAAUACAAAGAUCAUAAAAAAAUUAAGUGCAAACCAUUGUUAAAUUUUAGAGAUAGUACAAUUUAUCAAAACCUUAAUAAAUGUCUAGAGACAGAAAAAAUUUGCCCAAACACUAAACACUAAACACUAAAACACAAACCCUUAACUCGAAACUCUAAACCCCAAACCCUAAACCCUAUGUAUCGAAGGAUAACUCAUAUGGCUUUUUGACCAUUAUGGUCUCCACUAAAGAACCAAGAUUGUGAUUUGUGUCCUACCUAAACAUCAAACCCUAAACCCUAUGUAUCGAAUGCUUACACCUAUGGAUUUUUUACCAUUAAAUGGUUUCCACCAAAAACCCAAGAAUGUGAUUUGUGUCCAACCAAUAUUAAAAUAUAAACCAAGUAAUAGUAAAAUACAGAGACCAUAAACAAACUAAGUGCAAACCAUAGUAAACUUUUAGAGAUAGUACAAUUUAUCCAAACCUUAAUAAAUGUCUAGAGACAGAAAAAAUUUGGCCAAACCAUAAAUCCUGAAACCUAAACACUGAAAGCCAAACCCUCAACUCGAAACUCUAAACCCCAAACCUUAAACCCUAUGUAUCGAAGGAUAACUCAUCUGGCUUUUUGACCAUUAUGGUCUCCACUAAAGAACCAAGAUUGUGAUUUGUGUCCAAACACUAAACACUUAAUCAUAACCCUCAACCCUAAACACGAAACACCAGACCCCAAACACGUAACCCUAAACCCUAACGCCAACCCUAAACAUCAUAACCUAGACCCUAUGUAUCGAAUGCUUACACCUAUACACUUUUUAGCAUUAAAUGGUUUCCACAAAAAACCCAAGAAUGCGAAUUGUGUCCAACCAAUAUUAAAAUGUAAUCCAAGUAAUAGUAAAAUACAAAGAUCAUAAAAAAAUUAAGUGCAAACCAUUGUAAAAUUUUAGAGAUAGUACAAUUUAUCCAAACCUUAAUAAAUGUCUAGAGACAGAAAAUUUUUGCCCAAACACUAAACACUAAAACACAAACCCUUAACUCGAAACUCUAAACCCCAAACCCUAAACCCUGUGUAUCGAAGGAUAACUCAUAUGGCCUUUUGACCAUUAUGGUCUCCACUAAAGAACCAAGAUUGUGAUUUGUGUCCAACCUAUAGUAAAAUUUAACCAAAAGAGUAGCAAAAUCUAGAAAUCGAAAAAUUUUAGGCCGAACCAUAGUAGGAUUGAAGAGAUAGUACUAUUUAUCCAAACAUUAAUAAAUGUAUAAACACAGAAAAAUUUGCCUAAAGCCUAAAUCCUUAACCCUAAGCACUAAACGCUAAACCCCAAACCUUGAACUCGAAACCCUAAACGCCAAACCUACCCAAUGUAUCUAAGGAUAACUCAUAUGGCUUUUUGACCAUUAUGGUCUCCACUAAAGAACCAAGAUUGUGAUUUGUGUCCAACCUAAACAUCAAACCCUAAACCCUAUGUAUCGAAUGCUUACACCUAUGGAUUUUUUACCAUUAAAUGGUUUCCACCAAAAACCCAAGAAUGUGAUUUGUGUCCAACCAAUAUUAUAAUAUAAACCAAGUAAUAGUAAAAUACAGAGACCAUAAACAAACUAAGUGCAAACCAUAGUAAAAUUUUAGAGAUAGUACAAUUUAUCAAAACCUUAAUAAAUGUCUAGAGACAGAAAAAAUUUGCCCAAACACUAAACACUAAACACUAAAACACAAACCCUUAACUUGAAACUCUAAACCCCAAACCCUAAACCCUGUGUAUCGAAGGAUAACUCAUAUGGCUUUUUGACCAUUAUGGUCUCCACUAAAGAACCAAGAUUGUGAUUUGUGUCCAACCUAAACAUCAAACCCUAAACCCUAUGUAUCGAAUGCUUACACCUAUGGAUUUUUUACCAUUAAAUGGUUUCCACCAAAAACCCAAGAAUGUGAUUUGUGUCCAACCAAUAUUAAAAUAUAAACCAAGUAAUAGUAAAAUACAGAGACCAUAAACAAACUAAGUGCAAACCAUAGUAAAAUUUUAGAGAUAGUACAAUUUAUCCAAACCUUAAUAAAUGUCUAGAGACAGAAAAAAUUUGGCCAAACCAUAAACACUAAACACUAAAACACAAUCCCUUAACUCGAAACUCUAAACCCCAAACCCUAAACCCUGUGUAUCGAAGGAUAACUCACAUGGCUUUUUGACCAUUAUGGUCUCCACUAAAGAACCAAGAUUGUGAUUUGUGUCCAACCUAUAGUAAAAUUUAACCAAAAGAGUAGCAAAAUCUAGAAAUCGAAAAAUUUUAGGCCGAACCAUAGUAGGAUUGAAGAGAUAGUACUAUUUAUCCAAACAUUAAUAAAUGUAUAAAGACAGAAAAAUUUGCCUAAAGCCUAAAUCCUUAACCCUAAGCACCAAACGCUGAACCCCAAACCUUGAACUCGAAACCCUAAACGCCAAACCCUAAACCCUAUGUAUCUAAGGAUAACUCAUAUGGCUUUUUGACCAUUAUGGUCUCCACUAAUGAACCAAGAAUGUGAUUUGUGUCCAACCUAAACAUCAAACCCUAAACCCUAUGUAUCGAAUGCUUACACCUAUGGAAUUUUUUACCAUUAAAUGGUUUCCACCAAAAACCCAAGAAUGUGAUUUGUGUCCAACCAAUAUUAAAAUAUAAACCAAGUAAUAGUAAAAUAUAGAGACCAUAAACAAACUAAGUGCAAACCAUAGUAAAAUUUUAGAGAUAGUACAAUUUAUCCAAACCUUAAUAAAUGUCUAGAGACAGAAAAAAUUUGGCCAAACAAUAAAUCCUGAACCCUAAACACUGAAAGCCAAACCCUCAACUCGAAACUCUAAACCCCAAACCUUAAACCCUAUGUAUCGAAGGAUAACUCAUAUGGCUUUUUGACCAUUAUGGUCUCCACUAAAGAACCAAGAUUGUGAUUUGUGUCCAAACACUAAACACUUAAUCAUAACCCUCAACCCUAAACACUAAACAGCAGACCCCAAACACUUAACCCUAAACCCUAACGCCAACCCUAAACAUCAUAACCUAGACACUAUGUAUCGAAUGCUUACACCUAUACAUUUUUUAGCAUUAAAUGGUUUCCACAAAAAACCCAAGAAUGCGAAUUGUGUCCAACCAAUAUUAAAAUGUAAUCCAAGUAAUAGUAAAAUACAAA
rnacentral:lncRNA from 1 species